rnacentral:rRNA from 1 species
CGCACGGGUGAGUAACGCGUAUCCAACCUGCCUUACACUCUUGGACAGCCUUCUGAAAGGAAGAUUAAUACAAGAUGGCAUCAUGAGUCCGCAUGUUCACAUGAUUAAAGGUGUUCCGGUAGACGAUGGGGAUGCGUUCCAUUAGAUAGUAGGCGGGGUAACGGCCCACCUAGUCUUCGAUGGAUAGGGGUUCUGAGAGGAAGGUCCCCCACAUUGGAACUGAGACACGGUCCAA